UGCAGUCGAGCGGAUGAAGGGAGCUUGCUCCUGGAUUCAGCGGCGGACGGGUGAGUAAUGCCUAGGAAUCUGCCUGGUAGUGGGGGAUAACGUCCGGAAACGGGCGCUAAUACCGCAUACGUCCUGAGGGAGAAAGUGGGGGAUCUUCGGACCUCACGCUAUCAGAUGAGCCUAGGUCGGAUUACCUAGUUGGUGGGGUAAAGGCCUACCAAGGCGACGAUCCGUAACUGGUCUGAGAGGAUGAUCAGUCACACUGGAACUGAGACACGGUCCAGACUCCUACGGGAGGCAGCAGUGGGGAAUAUUGGACAAUGGGCGAAAGCCUGAUCCAGCCAUGCCGCGUGUGUGAAGAAGGUCUUCGGAUUGUAAAGCACUUUAAGUUGGGAGGAAGGGCAGUAAGAUAAUACCUUGCUGUUUUGACGUUACCACCAGAAUAAGCACCGGCUAACUUCGUGCCAUCAGCCGCGGUAAUACGAAGGGUGCAAGCGUUAAUCGGAAUUACUGGGCGUAAAGCGCGCGUAGGUGGUUCACCAAGUUGGAUGUGAAAUCCCCGGGCUCAACCUGGGAACUGCAUCCAAAACUACUGAGCUAGAGUACGGUAGAGGGUGGUGGAAUUUCCUGUGUAGCGGUGAAAUGCGUAGAUAUAGGAAGGAACACCAGUGGCGAAGGCGACCACCUGGACUGAUACUGACACUGAGGUGCGAAAGCGUGGAGAGCAAACAGGAUUAGAUACCCUGAUAGUACACGCCGUAAACGAUGUCGACUAG
rnacentral:rRNA from 1 species